rnacentral:rRNA from 1 species
AUUGAACGCUGGCGGCAGGCUUAACACAUGCAAGUCGAGCGGUAACAGAGAGAAGCUUGCUUCUCUGCUGACGAGCGGCGGACGGGUGAGUAAUGCCUAGGAAUCUGCCUAGUAGUGGGGGAUAACUUGCCGUAAGGUAAGCUAAUACCGCAUACGUCCUACGGGGGAAAGGAGGGGACCUUCGGGCCUUUCGCUAUUAGAUGAGCCUAGGUCGGAUUAGUUAGUUGGUGAGGUAAUGGCUCACCAAGACCGCGAUCCGUAACUGGUCUGAGAGGAUGAUCAGUCACACUGGAACUGAGACACGGUCCAGACUCCUACGGGAGGCAGCAGUGGGGAAUAUUGGACAAUGGGGGGAACCCUGAUCCAGCCAUGCCGCGUGUGUGAGGAAGGUCUUAGGAUUGUAAAGCACUUUAAGUUGGGAGGAAGAGCAGUUAACUAAUAUUUGACUGUUUUGACGUUACCGACAGAAUAAGCACCGGCUAACUUCGUGCCAGCAGCCGCCGCGG